UUAAUGUCGAUCAUUAAUAUUGCUCUAAUUGUUCUAUUUCUUUCUCUGCAUUCAUCCAAUGCUAGAGUAAUCCCUGUGCCUUACAACCAUCCUGCUAAGGACUUUGUCAAGGGAAAUGAUGUUGUGGGAGAAAAAUCAGUAGGAGAUAGAGAUGGAGUGAGUCAUGUUGUAAAAGAUUCAAUUUCUAAGAGGAAUUUUAGGGUUCAUCAAAAGAAAAGAGGAGAAGAUGAAGAAGCUGCAGGUUUCAACCUUGAUUAUUUGCCGCCUAGGACACAUCCCCCCUCCCAUAAUUAAUUAUAUUUUUUUUUGUAUAUUGGAAAUGGAGGGUGCUAAUACUUUUUGAAGAAAUCAAUGUGCAUUUUUUUGUGGUUCCA